CGCCAGCGAGGGUUGCCAUAGCUACGGAGCGCACAACUGCGAGGCCUCCCAGCUGGUCCCCGCCGGCCGCAGGAGAGAGCCGGCACGAUGAGCCGCGUAGUAACCAUGGAGGAGCCCCGGGCCAAGACGCAGGUGUCUCAACUCCACUGCUUGAAGAGGUCGAAGGCCGCUACCUGCGCCAGCCGAGUGUACGAUUUCCUGUACGAUCCAUUGUUUAUUGUGUCAAGUGAGAAAGACCACACACAGGCAAAUAUCCAAGCCACUCUGAUUCGAAGCAGACUGAAAAAAGUUCCUAGGUUUAGAACCAUGUUCAGUAACCUGAUCCAUUAUCCAAGAUAUUCUCUGUAUUGGAGCAAGUCAGAUCCUGUCCCACCGUUUAUCAGUCGGAAAUGGAAGGGACAUGAGGAGAAACCCAAGGAUGCCCUCUGGCAGUUUGCUGUAACUGACAGAUUUAAGAUGCUUAAAGAAGUUUGUGAAGCUCCUGAAGUUACUGGAAAGAAUCGCUAUAAAUACUUUGACAGGCCUUUCCUUCCAUUUCAGCAACAGAUACCACUGAAUGUUGUUUAUGCAAUAACCAAGACAGAAUCAUUUACUUUUCCUCCUACUUCUGCUAAGUUCCUACCCAUCCCUUCAAAGUCUACUGUGGGCACUCAGACUGAUUACAGGGAAGCCGACGUUCAAACAGAUCCAUACUCUCCAGAAUAUAUAGUAUGUCAGGAUUCUAUCCCUGAGCUAUUGACACUGGCUACUCUUACCUGGGGUCGAGGUCUCCCAGCAGGCCAGGCUGAGGUGGAGAUGAUAGAACGAGCCCGGGAGAAGCGUGCUUGGGAAGCCAGUCUUCCCCCUCUGAGCGACACCUCCCAGUUUGAGAAGAGGAGGAGGAUGAUGAAUGCGAUGGAGAGGAAGGAGUGGGGUUUCAGAGAGCAGGAGAUUGAAAGACUGCAGGAUAUUCGCCUGGAAAUUCUAAAAGAGUUGCUGAGGAGGCGUGAAGAGAAUCAGAAUGAAGUGAACAUGAAGAAAUUGAAUGCCCAGUGGUCUAAACUGCAGGAAGCAAAAGAGGCAAAAAUAGCCCAGAUCCAGCGCUCAUAUAUGUCAGCAAUCAGAAAACUUGUAGGAAAGGGAAAGAAUAUAGAAGGGAAACUGGAGCGAAGAAAUAUCAUCAAGGACUAUUCUGAUUAUGCAUCACAGGUCUACGGACCUCUGUCUCAUCUUGGUCGUUUCCCAGACAACAACUCAGAGGAAUUUGUAGUAAAAAACCGCUAUAUCAACACCUAUGAAGGAUUAGUCGAACUUGAGUCAAGUCUCCCAGAUUUUGUGACACAACCCCGAAUCAAACCUCCAAAAUUAAAAGUCAUUACCACCAAAUCUGGUUUUCUGAAGAGAACGGCAAGGUUUGACUGUGAGUUGGCAGAGAUUCAUCAGGCACUGUUGGAUAAGAAGAAUAAAGUUCAUGAGGCAAAGAAGCCCCCGCGUUUCCUUCAAAGAAACCCAAUACCUGCACCUCGGCUUCCCACUCCAACCUUGCAAUUGAGUUCCAAUGAAGAAGAAGACAUAGAAAUGGCUGUGAUCUACCUUCAAAAGUUACUCCGGGGCAGAGUUGUUCAGAACAUGAUGUUUGAAGGGAAAGAAAAGCGACUGGAGUUGAUCCAGGAGUUGCGCACCAGCCACGCACUACAAGAUGACGAAAAGCUGGUGAAAAAAGCCGAGAAGCAAGUGACCCUGGCCCUCCUGCAGCAGAGGAAUUUGCAUGAACACAAGGAGUCACUGGUCAAAAACCAUUUGGCCGGGCUGGAAGGAAGGGCGCUGGCAGACAUGUUUGACUUCCUGUCCAAGGAGCUAGUGCGAUUGCAGGAGGAGAGGAGGAUCCAUGCCUUCGCCAUGCUGGCCGAUCGCCAGCGGAGGAUGCGGGAGGCCGAGGAGAGUGGCCGGCGCCAGGUGGAACAGCGGCGCCUGUGGGAAGAGGACGAGAUGUUCAAAGAGGUAAUUAAAGUUCACCAAAGUACUGUAUCCUCCUACCUGGAAAACAUAAUACUGAACACCGAAGAGAACACUGCAGAAGAACAAGCCAGGGCAGAAAUUGAGAAGAUAGCUGAGGAAAUCAAUGACAUUGCUUAUGAAAUAGAAAACCGUCGAACUCAUCUUCAGUCAGAGGAGAUUGUUGCUGAGUUGGUUUAUAGUUUUCUGAUCCCAGAGGUGCAAAAAGACUUUGUCAAAGAAAAAGUGAGGAACGCACAGCGGAAACAUAUUCUUGCAGCCCAUCAGAUCAUCCACCAGCACACGGAAGCCAUGCUCCAAAAGAGAGUAACUGAGCAACAGCAAGAUGAGGUCUCAGAGGCUGACAUCUUACCUGAGGAAGAAACUCAAAAUGAGGAAAACAGCUAAGGCAGCUACUUCACCUGUAUUGAUGUUUCGAUUGAUCCUUUGCUCCUGAUUGUUCAAAGUGGACCCCAAAGGAGACGGCAGAGCAAAGAAGGUCCUGCCAAACAGUCCAAAAGGCCCAGAAGCAAACCUGGAGGUGAGACCUGAAGACAGCUGGGACCAUGCUGACCUUGUGCGCUGUGAAGCAGACU